GCAUAUCAAUAAGCGGAGGAAAAGAAACCAACAGGGAUUGCCCUAGUAACGGCGAGUGAAGCGGCAACAGCUCAAAUUUGAAAUCUGGCGUCUUUGGCGUCCGAGUUGUAAUUUGCAGAGGGCGCUUUGGCAUUGGCAGCGGUCCAAGUUCCUUGGAACAGGACGUCACAGAGGGUGAGAAUCCCGUACGUGGUCGCUAGCCUUUACCGUGUAAAGCCCCUUCGACGAGUCGAGUUGUUUGGGAAUGCAGCUCUAAAUGGGAGGUAAAUUUCUUCUAAAGCUAAAUACUGGCCAGAGACCGAUAGCGCACAAGUAGAGUGAUCGAAAGAUGAAAAGCACUUUGGAAAGAGAGUUAAAAAGCACGUGAAAUUGUUGAAAGGGAAGCGCUUGCAGCCAGACUUGCCUGUAGUUGCUCAUCCGGGUUUCUACCCGGUGCACUCUUCUAUAGGCAGGCCAGCAUCAGUUUGGGCGGUUGGAUAAAGGUCUCUGUCAUGUACCUCCUUUCGGGGAGAACUUAUAGGGGAGACGACAUGCAACCAGCCUGGACUGAGGUCCGCGCAUCUGCUAGGAUGCUGGCGUAAUGGCUGUAAGCGGCCCGUCUUGAAACACGGACCAAGGAGUCUAACAUCUAUGCGAGUGUUUGGGUGUCAAGCCCGAGCGCGUAAUGAAAGUGAACGGAGGUGGGAACCUUUCGGGGUGCACCAUCGACCGAUCCUGAUGUCUUCGGAUGGAUUUGAGUAAGAGCAUAGCUGUUGGGACCCGAAAGAUGGUGAACUAUGCUUGAAUAGGGUGAAGCCAGAGGAAACUCUGGUGGAGGCUCGCAGCGGUUCUGACGUGCAAAUCGAUCGUCAAAUUUGGGCAUAGGGGCGAAAGACUAAUCGAACUAUCUUGUAGCUGGUUCCUGC
rnacentral:rRNA from 1 species